rnacentral:sRNA from 1 species
AUCUAUGUCUUCAAUCA